rnacentral:sRNA from 1 species
UACAUUCCAAAAAUCAAGAAAAUCCAAC